CACGUAGGCACCAAGCGUUUGUCCGGAUUUAUUGGGACGUAAAGAGCUCGUAGGCGGUUCAGUAAGUCAAGGUGUGGAAAUCUUUGGGCUUAACCCAAAGCGUGCAUUUGAUACUGCUGUGACUUGAGUUCGGUAGGGGAGUGGGGAAUUCCUAGUGUAGCGGAUGAAUGCGCAGAUAUUAGGAGGAACCACCGGUGGCGAAGGCGCCACUCUGGGCCGAAACUGACGCUGAGGAGCGAAAGCGUGGGUAGCAAACAGG
rnacentral:rRNA from 1 species